GAUGAACGCUGGCGGCGUGCCUAAUACAUGCAAGUCGAACGAAUCUUCUUCGGAAGAUGAGUGGCGAACGGGUGAGUAAUACAUAGGUAACCUGCCCCUGUGCGGGGGAUAACAGGAGGAAACUCCUGCUAAUACCGCAUAGCCAUGAGCACCGCAUGGAGCUCAUGCCAAAUAUCCUUUCGGGGAUAGCGCAGGGACGAACCAAUGGCGCAUUAGCUGGUUGGCGGGGCAACGGCCCACCAAGGCAACGAUGCGUAGCCGGCCUGAGAGGGCGGACGGCCACAUUGGGACUGAGACACGGCCCAGACUCCUACGGGAGGCAGCAGUAGGGAAUUUUCGGCAAUGGGGGAAACCCUGACCGAGCAACGCCGCGUGAGCGAAGAAGGCCUUCGGGUCGUAAAGCUCUGUUGUAAAGGAAGAACGGCGCAUACAGGAAAUGGUAUGCGAGUGACGGUACUUUACAGAAAGCCACGGCUAACUACGUGCCAGCAGCCGCCGUAA
rnacentral:rRNA from 1 species